AUUGAACGCUGGCGGCAGGCCUAACACAUGCAAGUCGAGCGGGGUUUUCGGACCUAGCGGCGGACGGGUGAGUAAUGCGUAGGAAGCUGCCCGAUAGAGGGGGAUACCAGUUGGAAACGACUGUUAAUACCGCAUAAUGUCUACGGACCAAAGUGUGGGACCUUCGGGCCACAUGCUAUCGGAUGCGCCUACGUGGGAUUAGCUAGUUGGUGAGGUAAUGGCUCACCAAGGCGACGAUCUCUAGCUGGUUUGAGAGGAUGAUCAGCCACACUGGAACUGAGACACGGUCCAGACUCCUACGGGAGGAAGCAGUGGGGGAUAUUGGACAAUGGGCGCAAGCCUGAUCCAGCCAUGCCGCGUGUGUGAAGAAGGCCUUCGGGUUGUAAAGCACUUUCAGCGAGGAGGAAGGGUGGUGUGUUAAUAGCACAUCAUUUUGACGUUACUCGCAGAAGAAGCACCGGCUAACUCUGUGCCAGCCGCCGCAGUAACAC
rnacentral:rRNA from 1 species